rnacentral:rRNA from 1 species
UCCUUUGGGAGAAAGAAGGCCUCUCUUUAGAAGCUUUCGCUACUAGAUGAGCCUGCGUAAGAUUAGCUUGUUGGUGAGGUAAAGGCUCACCAAGGCGACGAUCUUUAGCUGGUCUGAGAGGACGAUCAGCCACAUUGGGACUGAGACACGGCCCAGACUCCUACGGGAGGCAGCAGUGGGGAAUAUUGGACAAUGGGCGCAAGCCUGAUCCAGCCAUACCGCGUGUGUGAAGAAGGCCUUCGGGUUGUAAAGCACUUUAAGCAGGGAGAAAAAGUUAUAAGUUAAUACCUUAUAACCCUGAUGUUACCUGCAGAAUAAGCACCGGCUAAUUCCGUGCCAGCAGCCGCGGUAAUACGGAAGGUGCAAGCGUUAAUCGGAAUUACUGGGCGUAAAGCGCGCGUAGGUGGUUUGUUAAGUUGGAUGUGAAAGCCCUGGGCUCAACCUAGGAACUGCAUCCAAAACUAACUCACUAGAGUACGAUAGAGGGAGGUAGAAUUCAUAGUGUAGCGGUGGAAUGCGUAGAUAUUAUGAAGAAUACCUCUGGCGAAAGGGGCCUCCUGGGUUUAACACGACCAAGUGGUGCGAAAGCGUGGGUAGCGAACAGGAUUAGAUACCCUGGUAGUCCACGCCGUAAACGAUGACAACUAGCUGUUGGGAGACAAUGUCUUUCAGUGGCGCAGCUAACGUUUUAAGUUGUCCGCC